UACGUAGGGAGCAAGCGUUGUCCGGAUUUACUGGGCGUAAAGAGCGUGUAGGCGGCCAAACAGGUCCGUUGUGAAAACUGGAGGCUCAACCUCCAGACGUCGACGGAAACCGUAUGGCUAGAGUCCGGAAGAGGAGAGUGGAAUUCCUGGUGUAGCGGUGAAAUGCGCAGAUAUCAGGAAGAACACCUAUGGCGAAGGCAGCUCUCUGGGAUGGUACUGACGCUGAGACGCGAAAGCGUGGGGAGCGAACAGG
rnacentral:rRNA from 1 species